GAAUCUAUUUCAAAAGGAGGACUCUAAUAUGAGCGCCAUUCAACGAAUUGCAUUAGUUCUUACGAUUAUUGGAGCUAUUAACUGGGGGUUAAUCGGCUUUUUCCAAUUUGAUUUAAUCGCAGCUAUGUUUGGUGGACAAGAUGCUGCCCUAUCAAGAAUUAUUUACGGUUUAGUAGGAAUUGCCGGUCUAAUUAAUCUCGGUCUCCUGUUUGUUCCUAACGAACGAGAAGAUGAAGCUGCAGAAGCAAGACCAACAAGGUAAAAGGGCAAA
rnacentral:antisense_RNA from 1 species